AUAUUGGACAAUGGAGGAAACUCUGAUCCAGCCAUGCCGCGUGAGUGAAGAAGGCCUUCGGGUUGUAAAGCUCUUUCAGUAGUGAAGAUGAUGACGGUAACUACAGAAGAAGCUCCGGCUAACUUCGUGCCAGCAGCCGCGGUAAUACGACGGGGGCUAGCGUUGUUCGGAAUUACUGGGCGUAAAGCGCACGUAGGCGGAUUUUUAAGUCAGGGGUGAAAUCCCGGGGCUCAACCCCGGAACAGCCUUUGAUACUGGAGAUCUAGAGUCCGAGAGAGGUGAGUGGAAUUCCGAGUGUAGAGGUGAAAUUCGUAGAUAUUCGGAGGAACACCAGUGGCGAAGGCGGCUCACUGGCUCGGUACUGACGCUGAGGUGCGAAAGCGUGGGGAGCAA
rnacentral:rRNA from 1 species